AAAGAUUAAGCCAUGCAUGUCUAAGGAUAUAAGCAACUUUAUACUGUGAAACUGCGAAUGGCUCAUUAAAUCAGUUAUAGUUUAUUUGAUGGUACUUUGCUACAUGGAUAACUGUGGUAAAUCUAGAGCUAAUACAUGCUUAAAAGCCCCGACUUCUUGGAAGGGGUGUAUUUAUUAGAUAAAAACCAGCCCUUCGGGUCCCUUGGUGAAUCAUAAUAACUUUUCUAAUCGCAUGGCCUUGUGCCGGCGAUGCUUCAUUCAAAUAUCUGCCCUAUCAACUGGCUCGAUGGUAGGAUAGAGGCCUACCAUGGUUG
rnacentral:rRNA from 1 species